rnacentral:rRNA from 1 species
GUCGUAGCAGCUGUGCUCUGUAUAGAAGUUGGCGGCGGACGGGUGAGUAACACGUGGGUAACCUGCCCAUAAGACUGGGAUAACUCCGGGAAACCGGGGCUAAUACCGGAUAACAUUUUGAACCGCAUGGUUCGAAAUUGAAAGGCGGCUUCGGCUGUCACUUAUGGAUGGACCCGCGUCGCAUUAGCUAGUUGGUGAGGUAACGGCUCACCAAGGCAACGAUGCGUAGCCGACCUGAGAGGGUGAUCGGCCACACUGGGACUGAGACACGGCCCAGACUCCUACGGGAGGCAGCAGUAGGGAAUCUUCCGCAAUGGACGAAAGUCUGACGGAGCAACGCCGCGUGAGUGAUGAAGGCUUUCGGGUCGUAAAACUCUGUUGUUAGGGAAGAACAAGUGCUAGUUGAAUAAGCUGGCACCUUGACGGUACCUAACCAGAAAGCCACGGCUAACUACGUGCCAGCAGCCGCGGUAAUACGUAGGUGGC